rnacentral:tRNA from 1 species
GUGGGCGUAGCUCAGUUGGUAGAGCCCCGGAUUGUGAUUCCGGUUGUCGUGGGUUCGAGCCCCAUCGGUCACCCCA